rnacentral:rRNA from 1 species
CGGCAUGCCUAACACAUGCAAGUCGAACGGAGUUUGAGGAGCUUGCUCCUUGAACUUAGUGGCGGACGGGUGAGUAACGCGUGAGUAACCUGCCUUUCAGUGGGGAAUAAUAUUCUGAAAAGAGUACUAAUACCGCAUAACGUAUAGAAACCGCAUGAUUUUUAUACCAAAGAUUUAUCGCUGAGAGAUGGACUCGCGUCCGAUUAGCCAGUUGGUGAGGUAACGGCUCACCAAAGCAACGAUCGGUAGCCGGACUGAGAGGUUGAACGGCCACAUUGGGACUGAGACACGGCCCAGACUCCUACGGGAGGCAGCAGUGGGGGAUAUUGUGCAAUGGGGGAAACCCUGACACAGCAAUGCCGCGUGAAGGGUGAAGGUCUUCGGAUUGUAAACUUCUUUUGUCAAGGACGAUAAUGACGGUACCUGACGAAUAAGCUCCGGCUAACUACGUGCCAGCCGCCGC